rnacentral:lncRNA from 1 species
UUCAAAAGCUCGUAUCUCCUCCAUCCGAGCUCCGAUUCAGGUGAUCUUGGUCUUGUUGGACUCCGUUUUUCAUCGCGAACCUCGCUGUGGGCUCAAUGUGGGUUGAAUCUCGAGGCAUCAAAUUCUAACAAUCUCCACCUCGACUCGAUAUUUGGCCUCCUCCAAACUCCGAGAGCUUCUGGAUCUCCUCGCCCCCAUGCCCUGGGGCAAUUGCCUGCUGAUCAUGGAUGGGCAAACAUGGGAGUCGAGCCAGGCUGCUCGAUCCCAUCUCCGUCGUAUGCUGUGCUCCUCCUGACUUGAGACCUGCUCGGGGCAUCGUCCUGCGGCAAUAGGAAUCUCACCUUGCGACGUCGCCUCUCGUCCUCCCGAGUCUCCUGUCUCGUGCCCGAUCCACCUCCUGGAGCUCCACCUCGCUCUGGGCUCCACCUGGCUCCCGAAGCUCCACCUCGCACUGGGCUCCCUACCAGGUAAUAAUGUCCUCUGCUCCCCUUCUUCCCCUCUAGCACAAUCCUAUUGCCGCGUAACACCCUCAGAAUUUUUCCACCAGCUACCGUCCUAUAGCCUCUCGAAUCCAGUCUGCUAAGUGAGAUAAGAUUCCGCCUGAAAUCGAGUAUGUAUCGGACCUCCCCCAAUCUCCUCA